UACGAAGGGGCUAGCGUUGUUCGGAAUUACUGGGCGUAAAGGGCGCGUAGGCGGUGUGUCAAGUCAGGCGUGAAAGCCCGGGCUCAACCUGGGAACAGCGCUUGAGACUGGCACGCUCGAGUUCGGGAGAGGAUGGUGGAAUUCCCAGUGAUAGAGGUGAAAUUCGUAGAUAUUGGGAAGAACACCGAUGGCGAAGGCAGCCAUCUGGACCGACACUGACGC
rnacentral:rRNA from 1 species